rnacentral:rRNA from 1 species
AUGACGUCAAAUCAUCAUGCCCUUUAUGACCUGGGCUACAAACGUACUACAAUGGCCAAUACAAAGAGAUGCGAAGCGGUGACGUGAAGCGAAACCUCAGAAAGUUGGUCUCAGUUCAGAUUGAAGUCCUGCAACUCGACUUCAUGAAGGCGGAAUCGCUAGUAAUCGCGGGUCAGCAGACCGCGGUGAAUACCGGUUCCCGGGUUU